CAAGAAAAAAGCAAAUGAUAAGUCAAGAAUCACUAGAAGCUACCAACAGGCUACAAGCAUGCUACACUUUCUGCUGUCACAUCCAGUAAAGAUAUGGAUGAGUAAGCCUCCCAUGUCAAAAAAUUAAUCAUCACCAACAAAGCUUAUCUAGCUUCUCUAGAAUAGUUUAAUAAAUCUUUCAAAAUUAGUUCCUAUAAGGGUUAAGUGCUCCCAGAAUACGAUCCGACUGAAAUUUUUUCCACUUCCCCUCACUUGACCACUUACAUAUCUAUAGAUCCAUUCCCACACCAACACACUCCCCAUUACACAUCCCAGAUCGCUCUCACAGUAACCUUCCCUCCAGUCUUUGGGGAACAUAAUUAUACCACCUCGAUCGGUCAUCACUAAUGCCUUGUGCUAUGUAAAUUUAAGCUACACUCAGUAUACGGGUUUUUAACCCUAUCCUUCAUAGUUCUACCACCCAUCCACAUCAGCAUUCCAAUAUCUACAACAUUUAUCUCAUGCACCAGUGCUCUUCUUUAAAAUGCACUAACUCAGACCAUAGAAUAACACUGUUCUUGAUCGUUAUCAUGCAAAAUCUUCAGAGGCCUUCCUGGCAUCUGACAAUCAAACACUUCAUAAGUAAAUAUUGACUUCAUUAGCCGCAAUCCAGUUCUAUUGAACAGUCAAAAUAUAUUUCUCCAUUUGUAUGCCAUGUUGUAAACACAAACAGACCAAGUAUUGAGAACAUACAGAUCCAAGAUAAGGAAAAUGAGAACCAGAGCCUCGAAAAUGACAAAAAGUGAGUGAGAGAUGACAGAGAACAAACUCUAGGAACAAAAAUAAAUGGCAAGGGCAUGCUGGCCUACAUGGAUUGAAGCAAGUAGAUUCAGGAGGUGAGAAGAUCAAACCCAACAACCAAAAAAACCAUAGAGAACAGCCUAAAGAGCAAGUGAUGAUAAAUUUCAAGAUGAACAACAUGGUCUCAGAACAAUGUCAAAAUCAAUUGAAUCAAAAACCUGAUUAGUUUAAGGAAGGGAUUACUUCAAUGCAAAAGGUAGCUCACAAAAAGCAUAUUGAUGAAGUUAGGAUGAUGACAAAGAUGAAAAAGAUUUAAAACGGCCUAGUUACAGUUUAGGUCUCCACAGGACAACAAUGUACAGAAGUAAUGUUGAAGCUUCUUGUACACUAGAUACCAACAUCAAAAUUUCAUCUGAAUUGCAACUUUCGCCCUUUUUUCAGUUUUGAUAGAAAAGCAGGGCCCCCAGCAAUCAUUUUAUAAAUUCAAAGAUAUUUAAAGGAUUGGAAGUUAUUUAUAACAUUUACUUGGACUCUUAAAACUUGUCUUGCAUCCAACAAAUGUUUUGGCAGUUAAACACCAAUAGGUCUCCAUAUAAAUUAAUGACUUGACACAAAGGAGUUAAACUCAAAAGAGGACAUGCUGAUAGCUCAAUCCACUGAUGGAGACUGGCAAUAGAUGAACAGAUCUCUCAUGGUGUCUCCAACGUUGUGGAGGUCUAAGAAGAGAAGUGACGCUAUGAUACCUUUAAUAUUUAUGAUAACCUGAAGUACGGGAAAUGCCCAAUCUAUACACCUGAAGUUGGCUAUGCCUCUAAUAAUACAAAAAUGCAAAGCACGAGAAACAACAUAUGCACAUACUGAACAAGCUGUACAACCACUAUCCAACUAGCCAAAUUCAUAAGCACAAUGACCAUAUUCUCAUUUUGUUUACAAAAUAUAAUGAAAAACAGCUAGAUAAGUUAUCAACUUUCAUAGAAUACGUUUUUGACCAUAAUGGUACUUGCUACAGAUCCCAUGCACGUGCUCUAGCCUACAUAUUCCAGCAUCAAUUAAUGAUAACAAAUGUCUCUCUUUUUGUGUUAGGUUUGUUAAUACUUUCUUAAUCGUAUUCUGUUAAACAAACAGGAGACAAGGCUUGAUAAUCAUGGUUAUGGUUUAUACAUUAAAAUGAUAGUGAUGAAGAGAUAGAUAAUUAUGGUUAUGGUUUAUUUUACUUUCUUAACUGUUUCUGUGCUUUGACCUGCAGUAUAGGACUACCAAAAGACUCGAAAGGUCCUAAGUUGAGAACCUGAGAUGAAACGCACUUCAUCAUGGGCUACAGCAUUAAUCAUUUAACAAUUACAUGUACCAGGGUUUAUGAAAUUAAAAUAAUUCUGCAUGCCCGUAAAUGUUUAGCAUCAGCAUCUACUAUUUUGAGCCACCAAAUAACAGAUAGCUGAAGUCCAUGAUCAGGUUGCAGAAGAAUGAUAAACCAUAGACAAAACAUUAUGAGGAGAGUUAGGGAAAUAAAAAGUCCCCACUAGGCAAGAAAAAAAAAGAAGAAGAGAAAAGAAAAGAAAAUCUGCAAGCUCAAGACAUACAUAACAUUCAAAUUAGUUAUAAAUUUUGCUUUGUCAAAUUCACAGGUCAUCUAUAGACAUCACCUUUUUCUCACCAAUGAAUUAUGAGACAAUGACUUUGGUGAUGGCUCUGUCAAUAUCAACAGCAUGCUAAUUUAAUUAAAAAGGUGUCAACUUGUAAGAAGACCCUCUAAUUUACCUAAAUAGUACAGUAUAAACUAUGUAUCAACUAAAUACAAACUGAUGAAUGAGAAAGUUUAUUACGGCUACAAUUCGAUCAGCUCAAGUCAAGGUCUUUCACAAUUUCAACCUAUCUAGACUUCUAAUUUCAUAUUUUUGGCAAAUUUAGGGUCAUUCUAUUACUAAAGUUAAAUGAGUUAGAAUAGAUCAAGUCCUUAAGUUUCAACCUUUAGAACAUUCGAUCUGUCAUAGUGGAUCAACCUAGAACUGAAGCCUUUUCAAGAAGAAGUCAUAGUUGAAGCAAGACCACCAGAGAGGACCACUAGGUUCACCA
rnacentral:lncRNA from 1 species